rnacentral:rRNA from 1 species
CGAUACGAGUUUGAUCAUGGCUCAGAACGAACGCUGGCGGCAGGCCUAACACAUGCAAGUCGAGCGCCCAGCAAUGGGAGCGGCGGACGGGUGAGUAACGCGUGGGAAUUUUCCUCAAGGUACGGAACAACUCAGGGAAACUUGGGCUAAUACCGUAUGAUGUCUAGCGACCAAAGAUUUAUCGCCUUGGGAUGAGCCCGCGUCAGAUUAGGUAGUUGGUGGGGUAACGGCCUACCAAGCCUGCGAUCUGUAGCUGGUCUGAGAGGACGAUCAGCCACAUUGGGACUGAGACACGGCCCAAACUCCUACGGGAGGCAGCAGUGGGGAAUCUUGCGCAAUGGGCGAAAGCCUGACGCAGCCAUGCCGCGUGAAUGAUGAAGGUCUUAGGAUUGUAAAGUUCUUUCGCUCGUGACGAUGAUGACGGUAACGAGAGAAGAAGCCCCGGCUAACUUCGUG